GCUUGUCUCAAAGAUUAAGCCAUGCAUGUCUAAGUAUAAGCCUUUAUAUGGUGAGACUGCGAAUGGCUCAUUAAAUCAGAAACUGUUUAUUUGAUAGUGCCUACUACAUGGAUACCUGUAGUAAUUCUAGAGCUAAUACAUGCAAAAAGCCUGGACUUCUGGAACAGGCGUAUUUAUUAGAUCCAACCAACCGCGGCGGGCAACCGGCGCGAACCUGGUGAAUCAUGAUAACUGAGCGAAUCGUAUGGCCUCGCGCCGACGAUGGUUCAUUCAAGUUUCUGCCCUAUCAGCUUUCGAUGGUAGGGUAUUGGCCUACCAUGGCAUUGACGGGUAACGGAGAAUUAGGGUUCGAUUCCGGAGAGGGAGCCUGAGAAACGGCUACCACAUCCAAGGAAGGCAGCAGG
rnacentral:rRNA from 1 species